UUCUUCAUCCACAGUGUUAACCUUGUUAUGUUAAAUGCAGAACCUAGAAGAGCAUUGUGUGGUUGUGUUAAUUGAAGAAGCGAGAGUAGCAUUGGGUUAAGCAAGUUCAAGAGCUCGAAGUGGAAGUGUGUUUCAGUGCUGCUGGAAGAGAGAAAGCUAAGGUGUUUCAGUGCUGGUGCUACUCGAAGAGAGAAAGCUAAGGUGUUGCUAGAGUGGUGAAUUACAAGCUUAAACAUUGAAUUGCAAGCUGCUCCGUGGUGUGUUGGACCGGAGUUAUUGGUUACGGUGAAGAAGGUUGUGUGUGCAUGUUUUUGUCCACCAAGCGGG